rnacentral:rRNA from 1 species
GAUGAACGCUGGCGGCGUGCUUAACACAUGCAAGUCGAACGUGAGGGUGCAGCGAUGUGCCUGAAAGUGGCGAACGGGUGAGUAACACGUAGAUGACCUGCCCUGGAGUGGGGGAUAACCAUUGGAAACGGUGGCUAAUACCGCAUACAUCCGGAGAACUGGGAAGUUUUCUGGGGAAAGCUCUGGUGCUUCAGGAGGGGUCUGCGUCCGAUUAGCUAGUUGGUGGGGUAAAGGCUCACCAAGGCGACGAUCGGUAGCUGGUCUGAGAGGACGAUCAGCCACACGGGAACUGAGACACGGUCCCGACUCCUACGGGGGCGAGCAGUGAGGAAUAUGG